CAUUACCAGUAUUAGAGGCACUGCCUGCCCAGUGACAUUAGUUAAACGGCCGCGGUAUCCUGACCGUGCAAAGGUAGCAUAAUCAUUUGUUCCUUAAUUAGGGACUUGUAUGAAUGGCCCCACGAGGGUUUAACUGUCUCUUACUUUUAAUCAGUGAAAUUGACCUUCCCGUGAAGAGGCGGGAAUAAAAAAAUAAGACGAGAAGACCCUAUGGAGCUUAAAUUGUAUGCUCAACAAAAUUUUAACCCCGCCCGACAGGAAAUAAUUAUAAUUUAACUGAGCAACAAAUUUUGGUUGGGGUGACCUCGGAGCACAACAGAACCUCCGAGUGAUUUUUACCUAAGACUAACCCGUCAAGGUUACUUAACUUAUUGAUCCAAUCAUAUUGAUCAACGAAACAAGUUACCCUAGGGAUAACAGCGCAAUCCUAUUUGAGAGUUCGUAUCGACAAUAGGGUUUACGACCUCGAUGUUGGAUCAGGACACCCAAAUGGUGCAGCAGCUAUUAARGGUUCGUUU
rnacentral:rRNA from 1 species